rnacentral:lncRNA from 1 species
CUCUUAAUGGCAAUGACGGCCAGUUGUUCAAUGGUAUUAGAUGGCGUUCCUGGUAGGUUCGUUGUUUUUAGGCAAUGGGCAUUGUAUCUUGCAGGCUGUACUAGUGUGUCAUCUAUAUCACAGGAUGUAAACUAGGGGAGAGAAAUCUCUUAAUUUCAGGGAUAUGAGUCAAUGGAGACUGUUCAGAUAACCUCAUUAACCUUAAUUAGGUACUGUACAACAGUCCAUCUCUCCUAUGACCCAGUUGGUCACGCUGACUAAAAAUAAAUCUCCAAUGUUCACAGCAGCAUUUGGAAGUAGGCCCAUACUGUACACAAGGUGGGAAAGGACAAAGAGUAAACGUAUGUGUUAUGACAAAUGGCACUACUCUAAGCCAAGAACAUAAUGACAAAGCAACAAAAUAAAACAAUACACAUACAUAAUGUGAAAAAUAUCUCAUCCGGGGGUGUGUUUUGAGCAUCUGUUUUUGAAUUUAAAUGAGGGUAAUUGAAUGUUUGAGUGUGUACAAAAUGGUGAUAGGCGGGUUCCUGACACAUGCAGAACGGUUCUCAUGGUUCUCCGUUCUGUGAUAGAUGCGAACACUCGCUGGGAGGUAGAUUAAUGACUAAAGCUUUCCUUAUUAUGUUUCAUUAGCUAGCUACGCAGGGCAACAAAAUUAUGAAGCCGUUUGUUUUCUUUACUGAGCCAACCUGCUUAGUUUUAACAGGAGUAACUGAGGGUAGUCCCUCAGUAAAACAGACCUCAUAUGUAUAUGUUCAAGUGAGUGUGGAGAGAGUGGGGGUAUGAGGGCGGAGGGUGUGCGUGUGUAUGUGUGAGCAGGUGCUUGCAUUCAUAUGUUGGUGCGUGUGCGCGUACUCCUGUACGUGUGUCUGUAGGUAGUCUACGUAAGUGUGUGCGUAUGUUCCCUUGUAUGUGCAAACGGUGUGAUGCAGAAGUGCAACGCUUUGGUCUGGCGCUGAGAAGUUCCUUUUUCAUUCUUUUACUCUGCCUCACGGCAGCAUCCCCAGUAGGAUAAAUGUGUUGCUUCCUCUCACCAGACACUUUGCAAUCUCACCAGCAGUCCAGGCUUUGCUGAGAUCUCCUGCCUGCUUGGGAGGGAUGAGGAGUGUGAUGUUAUUUAACAGCUCAUUUAGCAGUCAAGUAAAGGACGUUUACCUCAGAGGUGUAAUGGCCUCUGGGACUGGAUGUGCAGUAGAACACCCACUGUUCAGCAUCUUACUGCUCUACAUGUGCUGGGGAUUGGUAGAAAAGAUACAACAUUAAAAAGACAUCACAACUGACAAGAAACUGCAUGUUUCUGUGUACCAUUUUUUAUUAUUCUUCGCAUAUCCAUAUUGCUAAUAAUGCUUGUGGCAAAUUAAAUGCUUUUAAGUGUCUGGAAAUACAUUACAUGACCAAAGGUAUUUGGACACCUGCUCCUCAAACAUCUCAUUACAAAAUCAUGGGCAUUAAUAUGAUUGGUCCCUCCUUUGCUGCUAUAACAGCCUCCACUGUUCUGGGAAAGCUUUCCACUAGAUGUUGGAACAUUGCUGCGGGGACUUGCUUCCAUUCAGCCACAAGAGCAAUAGUGAGGUCGGGCAAUGAUGUUGGGCGAUUAGGCCUGACUCGCAGUUAGCGUUCCAAUUCAUCCCAAAGGUUUUUGAUGGGGUUGAGGGCAGGGCUCUGUGCAAACUAUUUCUGUAUGAACCUUGAUUUGUGCACAGGGAUAUUGUCAUGCUGAACUGUUGCCACAAAGUUGGAAUCACAGAAUAUCUUGGAAUGUCAUUGUAUGCUGUAGCAUUAAGAUUUCCCUUCACUGGUACUAAGGGGCCUAGCCCAAAUGAUGAAAAUCAGCCUAGACCAUUCUUCCUCCUCCACCAAACUUUACAGUUGGCACUAUGCAUUGGGGCAGGUAGCAUUCUCCUGGCAUCCGCCAACCCAGAUUCGUCCAUUGGACUGCCAGAUGGUGAAGCAUGAUUCAUCCCUCCAGAGAACGCGUUUCCACUGCUCCAGAGUCCAAUGGUGGCGAGCUUUGCACCACUAAAGCCAAUGCUUGGCCAACACUCAGCUGCUCAGCCAUGGAAAACCAUUUCAUGAAGCUCCUGACGAACAGUUAUUGUGCUGACGUUGCUUCCAGAGGCAGUUUGGAACUCGGUAGUGAGUGUUGCAUCCGAGGACAGUCAAUUUUUACGCGAUACACGCUUCAGCACUUGGCACUCAAUUUCUGUGAGCUUGUGUGGCCUACCACUUCGCGGCUGAGCCGUUGUUGCUCCUAGACCUUCCCACUUCACAAUAACAGCACUUACAGUUGACCGGGGCAGCUUUAGAAAGAAAUUUGACGAACUGACUUGUUGGAAAGCUGGCAUUCUAUGAAUGUGCCACGUUGAAAGUCACUGAGCUCUUCAGUAAGUCCAUUCUACUGCCAAUGUUUGUCUAUGGAAAUUGACAUGGGUGCGUGCUCAAUUUUAUACACCUGUCAUCAACGGGUGUGGCUGAAAUAGCCAAAUCCAUAAUUUGAAGGGGUGUCCACAUACUUUUGUAUAUAUAGUGUAUGUGCAAUUGGGUGAAAGAUUUACCUUUUGAGAAAUGUAUGUGCAAUUGAAAACUGCUUAGUCAAAUCCUCACUUGAGAUACUAACUCUGACUUUUCAUUAAUCAUGUUUUUAUGUUGAUGAAAGGUGGCGCCCCUCCUCGCCCGGGCGGCGCUCGGCCGGCCUACUAGCUGCCACCGAUCCUCUGUUUCACGUUCUGUUGGUUAGUUCUAGGUUAGGCACGCACAUGUUUUAUAUUAGUUGUUAGUGGGGGGAGGGGGGGGGGGGGUAUUUAGUCUAGCUAGGUAGGUUUGUGUUUUGUGCGUGAUUGUUCUGUGUCAGGACGUAUAUCGUUCGCGGAACAAGUGUUUCCAUCUGCCUGUGUUUUUUUUCGCAGAGGUUAUUGUGGGCUGCGUCCCUGCUGUUUUGAGCUGGGUUUUUGGAGCAUUUGUUUUAUGCGCCCUGCCCUACCUUGUUUCGUACAAUGGAUGCCCAUUAAAAGUGUGUUCACAGAUUUUCUGUCUCCUGCGCUUGACUCUACCUCUCCUGCUUCCUUGAGCCAACCUUGACAUGCGGAGUUACUUGCUUGGAUCUCAAGUU